AAUGCGGCGAAUUUGUAUUGAGAAAUUGACGCACGACAGACGCUUUCCACCAUUGCACAAUUGCGUGCAAAGUAACGGGUGAACAGUUGCGUGGAAGGGGUGGCGGGAUGCCGGUUUGAUUAAUCUGUCUCCUAUUGCAGUUGGGCCGGCCCUCUGAAACAAACCUAGGCCAAAUGAGAGCUAUCCAGCAGUAUGUCUGGAGUGUCGGCGAAUCAGGCAAGAUUAGACAAGAGCAAGGCAAAGUAUUCAACCAUAAAAAAUAAACCUGUGGGAAACCAGAAUCGGAGCCCAGCCAACAGACAUGGCCUACAGAGUCUGGGCAAGGUUGUGCCCACGCGAAGGAUUCCUGCCCCCGCUAACCUGCCAAGCUUGAAGGCCGAGAACAGUGGUAACGACCCGAACGUUUUCCUCGUACCGCUGGGCGGUCAGGGAUGGGGAUCCAGUAAUGGCUCCAGCUCGGCAUCGGACAGUCAGAAGAAGGCGGCCGGUGGUGCGGCCAGUGGCGCGGCGGCGGCGGCGGC